AAACUGUCCUUCUGGAGCGAUCGGAAAAAGUGGCCGGAAAGGCUCUCACGCGCCGGCGCGUGGGCCUCACGCGCCGAGGUUCUGCCGGCGCGUGGGGGCGCGUGAGCAGUGCUUUGCCGGUGAUUUUUUCUGGGGUUGGUUGGAAUUCUCUCCCGAACCUUGUGGUGAUCUCGGAUUUUGCACAACACCAACAGAAAAGGUAGUUUAGUUCGGACAGCCUCUUAAGUUGCCGGAAAAUUGCACGGCGACGAGGUCUUUCUUCCCGGAAUUAGCUGGAAUGACGCACAGCUAUAAUAUUCUCACUGAAGCUCUGAUACCAUG
rnacentral:lncRNA from 1 species